AACGAACGCUGGCGGCAGGCCUAACACAUGCAAGUCGAGCGCCCCGCAAGGGGAGCGGCGGACGGGUGAGUAACGCGUGGGAAUAUGCCCUUUGCUACGGAAUAGUCUCGGGAAACUGGGGGUAAUACCGUAUACGCCCUUUGGGGGAAAGAUUUAUCGGCGAAGGAUUAGCCCGCGUUGGAUUAGGUAGUUGGUGGGGUAAUGGCCUACCAAACCGACGAUCCAUAGCUGGUUUGAGAGGAUGAUCAGCCACACUGGGACUGAGACACGGCCCAGACUCCUACGGGAGGCAGCAGUGGGGAAUCUUAGACAAUGGGGGCAACCCUGAUCUAGCCAUGCCGCGUGAGUGAUGAAGGCCUUAGGGUUGUAAAGCUCUUUCAGCUGGGAAGAUAAUGACGGUACCAGCAGAAGAAGCCCCGGCUAACUCCGUG
rnacentral:rRNA from 1 species